GCCACAUGAUGUUACAGAGAUGACAUUAGCACAAUGUGCAAAGAUGACUUCUAUCUAUCACCCUUGACUGAUGGCU